GUCCAGACUCCUACGGGAGGCAGCAGUGGGGGAUAUUGCACAAUGGGGGAAACCCUGAUGCAGCGACGCCGCGUGAGUGAAGAAGUAUUUCGGUAUGUAAAGCUCUAUCGGCAGGGAAGAAAAAAAUGACAGUACCUGACUAAGAAGCCCCGGCUAACUACGUGCCAGCAGCCGCGGUAAUACGUAGGGGGCCAGCGUUAUCCGGAUUUACUGGGGGUAAAGGGAGAGUAGGCGGCCAUGCAAGUCAGAAGUGAAAGCCCGGGGCCCAACCCCGGGACUGCACUGGAAACUGCCGGGCUGGAGUGUCGGAGGGGCAGGCGGAAUUCCUAGUGUAGCGGUGAAAUGCGUAGAUAUUAGGAGGAACACCGGUGGCGAAGGCGGCCUGCUGGACAGCAACUGACGGUGAGGCGCGAAAGCGUGGGGAGCAAACAGGAUUAGAUACCCUAGUA
rnacentral:rRNA from 1 species